rnacentral:lncRNA from 1 species
CCUCUCCAGGAACAGGCGAGCAGGCGAGCAGGCGCGGGCACUCACACGUGGACACACACGCGGACACGCGCCUGCCCACACCCCUUGCGCGUGACUCGCCUAUGGGAUUUAAGGGCUUCUCCGGCAAGGAUUACCGUCAGGUGCAGAAAGCAGCCCUUUGUUCCGUGGGCAUUCCCCCCCACCCCCCGGAUUUGACUGUUAUUUACAGGCCAUGUGAGCACUGGCCAGGGCCUGGCCGGCGGGGGGGUGGUGGCAAGGAGAGCACCCCUGACGCAUGGGAGACAAAGGCUCGUGAGGCCAGCGCCGCCAGGGGACAACUCCACCCUCACCCCCCUCUGUGACUCCGGUGAAAUCGGCCGAGACUUGCAUCCGGAGAAGUUGAGGCCUGCUGGCCUCUGGAUAUGUAGACUUCGGGGAGAGGCCCCACGAGAGUGAAUCUGACCCGGGCUGUCGAGGCACGGGGGAUGUCUAGCACCCAUAGAGGGCCAGCAAAGGGGAAGCACUAGAUGUCCUCCCAGCUCCCGAACCAAGAGAAACCACUUUGCCCUCCUCACGGGUGCAGGGAGCCCAUGCGGCUCUCCCAGCCAGAAAGCCGGGUGCCGGAGACUUUGCCCCAGGCAGCCGACGUCACUCCACUGUGGUGGCUCCUUCCGGAACCCGAAUUAGAGUGAUCGCGCACCCCGGGCACCAAAAUAUAAGGUGCGUUGGGGGCUGAGGGGUCGCUAAUAUGCCAGCAACAAAUUAAUACUCAUGUAAUAGUUUAUUUUUUUAACUGAAGAAAAAUCCAUAAACAAAAUAAAAACUGCAGUGCCAUUUUGGAACCCGAGGCAAUAAAAAUAAAUCUCCACAGAUGAUUGCUUCUCAACCCCCAUAGCCCACUGGACCCUGAAAGGGGUGUCAGGGCCUUCAGAGUGCAGAGAGCCGGUAGAAGGCCUUGAAAUGAGAGCUGGAGGUGAUCUCGGGCGAGCAGCUACGCAGAGAACAAAGCAAAGGGUAACAGUGGAGGAGGCUGAACAGGGCGGGAAGGACCCCAAGGCUUCGGCGGCCCUCGCUGCCUUAAUCAGGCUUAGUCGCAACUUGAAAUGGAAUAUUCGACCUGGCCGCCGCUACCAAACCCCGUAAUUCCCUUGUUCGGUGAUUAAUUCUUGCUAACAAGACUUGGCAAGAUCUCGGCCAAAUAAUUUUUUUGGCUCUCUGUAAGGUCCCCACCACAUGCGCGCAUAACCUCCUCUCUUGCCAAAAUCGAGCCCUUGGGAAAUUAAAUGCUCCCCCCCCGAAAGUAAAAUGGGGGGUGGCAGAUGCUACGUGACCUGGAAAGAGGGAUGCGGAAACUCGAAUCGUCUCCUAGCUUAUUACAUUUGCUUUUAUAAAAGGUCAUUCUUCCCAUG